rnacentral:rRNA from 1 species
UACAGAGACUGCAAGCGUUAAUCGGAAUUACUGGGCGUAAAGCGUGCGCAGGCGGCUUUGCAAGACAGAUGUGAAAUCCCCGGGCUCAACCUGGGAACUGCAUUUGUGACUGCAUGGCUAGAGUACGGUAGAGGGGGAUGGAAUUCCGCGUGUAGCAGUGAAAUGCGUAGAUAUGCGGAGGAACACCGAUGGCGAAGGCAAUCCCCUGGACCUGUACUGACGCUCAUGCACGAAAGCGUGGGGAGCAAACAGG